CUUGAGUUCACUGAAAGCAUCAGAGUUUCUCUUUCAGGCAAGACAAAGACAAGUCUGAAAAAAAGGGUAACCAGAAGUUUCCACUAUGGAGGUUUAUUGAGACAUAACCCCAUCACGGGCCAAGGAAGAUCACAAUCCAGUUGUUCCAGCACCAUUUGUUGUAAGGACUCCUUUUCUCAUUGAGUUGCUUUGAUGCAUUGUCUACCUUGUAGGACUGAUGUGACACAUAAAUAAGAUGGUUACUAUAAAAUGUACAUUGCCUGACACAUAGCAAUUGCUCAAGGAAAUUAGAGAUAAUUGUCGCUGUGCCUGAGAUUUUUCCCAGUUGUCCCAGAGUUGGUGAUUAGGGCCUACAGGUGAGAACAAAAGAGUACGAACUAACCUACGCCCUUAAGAAAAUUGCCAGUAACUGGAGCCAGGCACCUCCCCAAGAGA
rnacentral:lncRNA from 1 species